rfam:Ipomoea nil DNA, scaffold: scaffold3210, cultivar: Tokyo-kokei standard.
GACGGUUUGGCCGAGUGGUCUAAGGCGCUAGAUUUAGUCUCUGGUCCGAAAGGGCGUGGGUUUAAAUCCCACAGCCGUUA